rnacentral:rRNA from 1 species
AGGACGAACGCUGGCGGCGUGCCUAACACAUGCAAGUCGAACGAGGUAGCAAUACCUAGUGGCAGACGGGUGAGUAACGCGUGGUCAACCUACCUCUUAGUGGGGGAUAACUAGCCGAAAGGUUAGCUAAUACCGCAUACGAUCUUCGCGUGGCAUCACAUGAAGAUGAAAGGAGCAAUCCGCUGAAAGACGGGACCGCGUCCCAUUAGCCAGUUGGUGGGGUAACGGCCUACCAAAGCAACGAUGGGUAGCUGGCUUGAGAGAGCGACCAGCCACACUGGGACUGAGACACGGCCCAGACUCCUACGGGAGGCAGCAGUGAGGAAUUUUCCGCAAUGGGCGAAAGCCUGACGGAGCGACGCCGCGUGUGGGAUGAAGGCCUUCGGGUCGUAAACCACUGUCGAAGGGGAAGAUAUUGACGGUACCCUUGGAGGAAGCCCCGGCUAACUACGUGCCAGCAGCCGC